rnacentral:piRNA from 1 species
GCAACACUUUCAGACUUGGAUCCUGC